rnacentral:snRNA from 1 species
UGUUGUGAGGGUGAUCUGCCUGUGACAUCUGUCACCCACUGACUGCCAGGGUUGAUUCAGCUGCUCUGGCGGGCUAGGCGGGGUCCUCUUCCUCCCUCACUGCUCCAUGGAUCUCCAUGUGUGUCCCUCCUGAAGCUGCAUGCUAGGCUGAAGAGGAUAACCUCUCGAAAACACAAGGACUGCUCUGCAGUCAAGGGCAUAGGAGGAGCUGUGGUCUCCUGCUAGAACCUCUACAGAAGCACUCCGGAAGCAGAACAGGGGCCAGGGAUGUAGCUGGGAGCACAGCGCCUGCCCGAGCGUGCACAAGGCUCGGCGUUUGGGC